CGGUGUCAAACGCUUUUUUCCCGGCUCCCAUGGGAUGCAGUUACGAUUCCUGGCUUCUCGCCCUUUCUGCUUUUGUUCAUCCGCGCAGCCUCCACAUGCCAUGUUUACAAAGACUUGGAGUGACAAUUCACGGAGUUGGGCGCUCCCUGCGGUGCGAUCCAGCUUCUGUUGGUGCCACCAUACAUUGUGCUGUGUCAGAUGGUGGCAUGGAGGCAGCCAGGGCUCGAAUCCGGGACCUAUGCCUUUGGAAGCUGAAGCAAAUUCCCCAGGUGCUUAGGGGAUGGCUUCUGACAUUUGGCAAAGAGCUGAGUCAGGGUAAAAUAAUGGAAGCUUUGAAGCGAUGUUAACCACAUGCUAGGCAGCAUUCUAAACCUUGAGAUUUAUCAGGUUAGUUGUCCAUUGCCCUGUAACUUAUUCUCCCAAAACUUAAGCAACAAGUAUUCAACACUAUUAUUUUCUUUUUUGCAUCUCAUACCACUUUUGUGGGUCAGGUCCCUGAGGGCAGCUUGGGUGGUGGUUGUGGCUCAGGGUCUCUCAUAAGGUUGCAGACGAGCUUUCAGCUGAAGCUGCAUCAUCUGAAGGCUCGUCUGGGCCCAUUUCUAAGCUCCACCUUCCUGUGCUUGUCUCAUUUGUGCUGGUUGCUGGCAGGAACCUGCAGUUCCUUGCCAUGGAGACCCCAGAUCCUUGCCAUUUCAGAGUGCUGCUCAAGCAUCCUUAUGACAUAGCAGCUGGCUUCUCCUAUAGUGAGCCCUCCAAGAGAACAAGCCAGAAGUUGCAAUGUCUUUUAUGACCUGGACUUGAAGUCACACUCUGUCGUGUUUGAAAAUACUACUGGUAGCACAGUUCAGCCUUAUCCAGUGUGGGAGGGGACUACACACUCAUGGACAGAGAUACUAGGAGGUGAGGAUCACUAGAGCUAUUCUGGAGGCUGGCUUUCCAUGUAUUAACUCAUUUAAACCCUGAAAUGUGCCUGGAGAGGCUUAGUUAGAAGAGACUGAGGUGAAGAAACUGGGGCUGUAUGUGGGAGACCCAGAGUUCAGAGGUCCUAGAGGCAGCACUCCACACCAGCACGUGCAGGGUGCAUGUCAUGCCCCCUGGUCCAGCGGCAACGAUGUCUGCAGUCAAGGGUGGUUUGUGAAUUGUUCCUGGCUAUGUGGCUUCUGAGCUGAAAUCUUCAGCCCUGUUGGAGAUUCUGGGGGCUACCAAAUAUAAUUUGCUUGAAUAUAGUAGUUGAAGAGGAUUCUAUUAUCUGCAGUGAAGGUCUGCAAUGACUGUUACAAAUGGUCCCAAAUGCAAGGGACAUAUUAUUCUUGUAGGCUGAAUAUAAUGAGUAUGAAAGCCAUCAGCUUAAUGUAAUGGUCUGAAUGCCACAUCAUUUUAGGGUUUAUUAGCAUAAACAUAAUGUUUUACAAUAAAAGAGGUGGGAGUGUGUUUCUACUCUGUACUAGUCAGAAGACAGCAGGAAUAUUGUGCCUGGAGGCUAUUUUUUAAAAAUGGGGACAGUGACAAAUUGGAGCAUGCCCAGAGGACAGAGGCCAAGAUGGUGGGGGAAACACAAACCAGAUGCCCUGAGCCUAGGGAUGUUUUCCCUGGAGAAGAGAAGACACUCAGGGGACCAUGGAUGCUGUUUUCACAUAUGUGUGGAAUUCUCAUGGUGCAGAGGAUCAGACAGAAUUAGAUUCAAAUCCUGGUCAGUUCCUCUUUGUGGCUGUGGACAAGGUCCCAAUUUCUCAAAGUCCUUUAUGAUAACACCUGGCAUAUGGCAAAUGAUUAGUAAGCAUGAGUCCCUUUCCUCUGUACCCUCAGUACCAAUAAGGGAGUAAGAAGCAGAUUUACACUUGGUAUGAAUAUGGAAUAUAGGCAGUGAGCCUUUAGAGAAAUCCAAGCACAGACUGGACAACCCACUUGACUGCCCACCCUCAUGGAACCCUUCUGGAAGGCUGAAAUUCAAGAGCAUUCCAUGCUCACUGCUGAAAAAGUUAAGAGAUUCAGAAAAGCCACAUGACCACUGCAUGACUGGGGACAAGCCUCAUGGGGAAAUGAGCCUCAGUUUCUACAAAAUGUCAAAGAGGAAUCAAUUAUGUAUCCUGAGUGCACAGUUUCUAUGCAUAGAUUUGUUCAUCACAGCAUGGCUUAUGCUCUUGAGAAAUUAGAAAGUAACUGCAUGUCCAUCCAUAGGGGAUCACUUAAAUAAAUUUGGCAUAUCCAUACAAGGUCCAUUAAAAAGUAUGAUGUCAAUCUCCAUUUGUUAAGUUAGAAACUUCAUGGCUUACCAUGGAAUGAUACAAGUAGUAUUACCAUGGAUGUAAUGCUUAUAUAUUCUGCUCUCCACUCUUUUCCAUCCUGCUCUGUGCCCAAGGGUUUUGGCUUCUAUGGACUGCUGUUGACGGGCUUUUCUGCCUUCUAACUCUGUCUGGGUUGGCCAGUGGGAGGCACUGGCAGUUGGAGAGCCGGGGUAGAGUGAGAUCAAGAUAUUUAUUCCUCUGGUUCCAUCUCUGCAGGUUUGCAGAGUUGGCUGUGUCUCUCCUGGAAGGUAUAGUUCCUGAUAAGCAACCCUCUCCAUACGGCUCUAGUUUAUAGUCACCACUCCCUCCUCAUGACCUUAAAAUCUGGGGGUGAUAAUGGCUCCCCUCUUGCUGGUCCUGGUGCACUACAUUAUUCCUUCCAGGUUUUCCUCACCUCUGCUCAGACCAGUGAAAACAGUCUUUUUAUUAAACUUUCUUUGAUUACUUACCGGAAUGUUCCAUCUGUUUCUAUCAAGAGCCUAAGACAAAAAUAUAAUCCAACUUCGGUAAAAAUCUGUCCAUCUGUAAUCCAAUAAGGGAAGUCCGGACAGAUGUCCAUGAAAGCAUCGUUGUCUCAGUGUGGUGAGAUUUUUUUCUUCUUUAGGUUUUCCUGAAAAUUUUAAACUUUUCUACAAUAAGCAGGCAUUGUCUUUGAUUCAAGGUAAACAAACAAGCAAAUAAAACAGUUGUAAAGGUCAGGUGACAGCAGGACAUGAGAAGUGCUUUGUAUAUUGGGAGCUGCUGUUCAAACUUGAGGUCCUAAUGAGUGAGCCAACUGGUGAAGGAUUUCUAGGAUAUUUGUAUUGAGACCUGAUUUCCUCAAAGGAGACUGAUUUCCCUCUCCAGCGAAGGACUCAGAUGUAAAUGGACCAGCCCUGCAUCCAGGGCUUUCUUCAUUCUGGAGCAUCUCAGCAAACAGCCAAGCUCAGAGCAGCUCUUCUCUGCUCCCUCUGCCCUCCAGUCAGCCACCCACCAGCCUCUCU